rnacentral:rRNA from 1 species
UCUUGACCUCAGAUCAGGCAAGGCUACCCGCUGAAUUUAAGCAUAUCAAUAAGCGGUGG